AUUGAACGCUGGCGGCAGGCCUAAUACAUGCAAGUCGAGCGGAUGAAGGGAGCUUGCUCCUGGAUUCAGCGGCGGACGGGUGAGUAAUGCCUAGGAAUCUGCCUGGUAGUGGGGGAUAACGUCCGGAAACGGGCGCUAAUACCGCAUACGUCCUGAGGGAGAAAGUGGGGGACCUUCGGACCUCACGCUAUCAGAUGAGCCUAGGUCGGAUUAGCUAGUUGGUGGGGUAAAGGCCUACCAAGGCGACGAUCCGUAACUGGUCUGAGAGGAUGAUCAGUCACACUGGAACUGAGACACGGUCCAGACUCCUACGGGAGGCAGCAGUGGGGAAUAUUGGACAAUGGGCGAAAGCCUGAUCCAGCCAUGCCGCGUGUGUGAAGAAGGUCUUCGGAUUGUAAAGCACUUUAAGUUGGGAGGAAGGGCAGUAAGUUAAUACCUUGCUGUUUUGACGUUACCAACAGAAUAAGCACCGGCUAACUUCGUG
rnacentral:rRNA from 1 species